rnacentral:rRNA from 1 species
GAUGAACGCUGGCGGCGUGCCUAAUACAUGCCAGUCGAGCGAACAGACGAGGAGCUUGCUCCUCUGACGUUAGCGGCGGACGGGUGAGUAACACGUGGAUAACCUACCUAUAAGACUGGGAUAACUUCGGGAAACCGGAGCUAAUACCGGAUAAUAUAUUGAACCGCAUGGUUCAAUAGUGAAAGACGGUUUUGCUGUCACUUAUAGAUGGAUCCGCGCCGCAUUAGCUAGUUGGUAAGGUAACGGCUUACCAAGGCAACGAUGCGUAGCCGACCUGAGAGGGUGAUCGGCCACACUGGAACUGAGACACGGUCCAGACUCCUACGGGAGGCAGCAGUAGGGAAUCUUCCGCAAUGGGCGAAAGCCUGACGGAGCAACGCCGCGUGAGUGAUGAAGGUCUUCGGGUCGUAAAACUCUGUUAUUAGGGAAGAACAAAUGUGUAAGUAACUAUGCACGUCUUGACGGUACCUAAUCAGAAAGCCACGGCUAACUACGUG